UUGCUAAAUUAUAAGGGAAAACCAUGAGAGAAUUUACCUUUUGCAUAAUGGUUUAAUUAAAUGUUACUUAAAUUAGUAAACCCGAAAUAGUAAGAUCUAAUGGCGCAAGUGAUGUCUUAUGUUGCAAAAUAAGAAAAGGUAACUUUCCAUUAGGGGUGAAAGGCUAUUCAAAUACUAUGAUAUCUGGAUAAAAAGGAAAUGUAUUAAGUACAAGUAGAAUACCGAAAAACCUUCUGUCAAGGGAAAGUUUAAGCGGAGAAUUAAAUUUAAUAAAGAACCCCAUGGAUAGAUCUUUGGGGAAUUUACUCAGUAAUAAUAAAAAUUAAAAGAUCUUACUUUUAGUACUUUAAAGGUCGUAGUUAAUAUAAAGCUGGCCUUGAUAAUGUUAAAAUAAGUAUUUAUAAGAAAUUUUGAUAAAAGAACUCGGCAAAACUUUAUCCAACUGUUUAUCAAAAACAUAGUUCCCCGUAAUUUUAUAGGGAAUGGGGCCUGCCCUAUGAUCUAUUAAAUGGCCGCAGUACUUUAACUGUGCUAAGGUAGCAUAAUAAAUUGGCUUUUAAUUGAAGUCUGGUAUGAAAGGAAGAAUGGAUAAGAGCUGUUUCUAGCAAAUUUAAUGGAAUUUACUAAGAAGGUGAAAAUUCCUUCUGUGAGUAAAUAGACGAGAAGACCCUAGGAGUUACAUAUUUUGUUGGGGCGACAUUUUAGUAAGAACCUAAAUGAUUUUAUUAAACGUCUAUAUUAAUUACAAUUUAACUACCCUAGGGAUAACAGCAUAAUUCCUAAAGGAGAUUGUGA
rnacentral:rRNA from 1 species